UCACUAAAAUCUCAACUGGCUGUCUUAUAACCAUUGCAGCACCUCCACCAAGCCCGUUGCCCCUGCGUUGCAGAUUCUUCUCCGUGUCAAGCUUAGAAGAAAAAAGUUUUGAAUGCACUCGAGUCCCCAGGUCAUCAGUUGCUCAGCCUGCGUUUGAGGAAAAGAAAGGGGAAGAAGAGGACACAAGAGUGACACAGCAGGAAAAGAAAGGGGAAGAAGAGGACACAAGAGUGACACAAAAGCAGCCAGCUUGCCUGCGUAGCCCACCUCAGCCCAGCCCAGAAGGAAAGACAGCUAGCCAUGGAAAGACUGAUUUUUUGGGU